rnacentral:tRNA from 1 species
UCGGGGUUAGUCUUCUAGGUGAGGAUGCCAGACUUUGAAUCUGGAGAGCGUCGUUCGAAUCCGCGACCCCGAGCAA